rnacentral:lncRNA from 1 species
UUGAUAGCUAUUGUCAUUUCCAUUUUAUUUAAUUUUCGGUUGAAGUAAAAUGAUAAGAAAAUAAGUGUGUUAAAUUGCAAUUGAUAUUCAUUUUUCCUUUCCGCACUUGAUUUGGGUGCUUAAUGCCCACUGUUGAGGAUGAAUGAUGAUGAAAAUGAGAUUUUGGUCCGGAAGAAACUGUGUACAGAUUUGUCUGCAUUUUGUUUUCAAUUGCUCUGCAUUUUUUGAUGAAUUGUUGUGCAAGUUACUUCUGCAAAUUGUGCUGCAAUGCGUGCUAAAUUGGUCUGCAAUUUGUGCUCUGUUUGUCUGCAAUUUGUGCUGCAAUUGCUCUGCAUUUUACAGCUCCAAUACAAACUACAAACGGACUUAUAGGGCUUCAGAUUUAGAAGAAAAAGCAUAAACCUAGGUGAGAUUUACCUUUAAAGAAAGUGAAAGAAUUAUAAAUAAUAGAAAGCAAGUUAAUUAGAAGCACAAAAGCGGAUUUUGUGGACACCAAAAUAGUCCAGAAUCAGCAGCUUUAUUGCCUUCUAUA